rnacentral:rRNA from 1 species
CAACGCCGCGUGGGCGAAGAAGGUCUUCGGAUCGUAAAGCCCUUUUCUCCCGGACGAGGAAGGACGGUACGGGAGGAAUAAGUGUCGGCUAACUACGUGCCAGCAGCCGCGGUAAAACGUAGGACGCAAGCGUUAUCCGGAUUUAUUGGGCGUAAAGGGCGUCUAGGCGGCGUCUUAAGUUGGGCGUGAAAUCUUCCGGCUCAACCGGAAGGGUGCGUCCAAUACUNGGACGCUUGAGGGCAGCAGGGGGAGGUGGAAUUCCCGGAGUAGCVGUGGAAUGCGUAGAUAUCGGGAGGAACACCAGUGGCGAAGGCGGCCUCCUGGGCU